rnacentral:rRNA from 1 species
AUUGAACGCUGGCGGCAGGCUUAACACAUGCAAGUCGAGCGGGGGAGGUUGCUUCGGUAACUGACCUAGCGGCGGACGGGUGAGUAAUGCUUAGGAAUCUGCCUAUUAGUGGGGGACAACAUUCCGAAAGGGAUGCUAAUACCGCAUACGCCCUACGGGGGAAAGCAGGGGAUCUUCGGACCUUGCGCUAAUAGAUGAGCCUAAGUCGGAUUAGCUAGUUGGUGGGGUAAAGGCCUACCAAGGCGACGAUCUGUAGCGGGUCUGAGAGGAUGAUCCGCCACACUGGGACUGAGACACGGCCCAGACUCCUACGGGAGGCAGCAGUGGGGAAUAUUGGACAAUGGGCGGAAGCCUGAUCCAGCCAUGCCGCGUGUGUGAAGAAGGCCUUUUGGUUGUAAAGCACUUUAAGCGAGGAGGAGGCUCUUAAGGUUAAUACCCUUGAUGAGUGGACGUUACUCGCAGAAUAAGCACCGGCUAACUCUGUGCCAGCAGCCGCCGUAACAC